rnacentral:rRNA from 1 species
UACGGAGGGUGCGAGCGUUAUCCGGAUUCACUGGGUUUAAAGGGUGCGUAGGUGGGUAUGUAAGUCAGUGGUGAAAUCUCUGAGCUUAACUCAGAAACUGCCAUUGAUACUAUGUUUCUUGAAUUUUCUGGAGGUCAGCGGAAUAUGUCAUGUAGCGGUGAAAUGCUUAGAUAUGACAUAGAACACCAAUUGCGAAGGCAGCUGGCUACAGGGAUAUUGACACUGAGGCACGAAAGCGUGGGGAUCAAACAGG